UCAACGUCACUGCAGGGUGGAAGUCUCUCGGUCUCUCCCGACUAUACAGUGAAAAAAGGGCAGGCGACGCGAGAGGGGUCUUUCCGGCGGGCCGCCGUCGGGCUCUGGGAGGUGGGCGAGACUGCGGACGGCCGCGCCGCGGUUGUAGAUAAUGGUGUUUUAGGACAUAAUUCUGGCGUUGGCGGGCAGGCGGGGCGACUUCGACGUAGUGGAAUGAGGUUCCUCCGGCUCCUUCCCCGUCGUGGCGGUGCUCCCUCUGAUGGCGCUGCGGCGCUAGGGAGGUUGGUCUCUCUCUGAUCCAGGCAUCCGGAGAGGUUUGAUCGGUGAAGGGGUGUACAGUACAGGAGUUGGGAUUUGUGGAGAGGGAUUCCCAGAUCCGGUCACCACGGACGACCGGCAGCUGCGGACUGUAUUGAACGAAGUUGUUGGAGCUGCUCCUUCACUCCGGCGUAGGCUGGUGCUGGUGGCAGCUUCAAGGAAGGGGAGCACGGGGUACCCCCGGCUGAUGCACCGAACCCGCCCCUGGUUCCGUCUUUUGCUUCGGGACUUAUAUGCGGCUCACAAAGCCAUGGAUUGGCGAUAGUGCUCCUCAUGACCAUCGUCUCGUGGACGACGACUCUUCCUCUCACCGGCGGGUGCACAGAUCGGCGUGCUUCAGUGAAGAAGGAAGAUGAGCUAGGCUCAAUGGAGUUUAGCACGGGUUUUUCCUCCAUGAGUAGGCCACCGAGGAUAUCUGCCAGUGGCGACCUGCUCGUCCCGAUGCCUACGGUGCACUGAGGGUAGGUGUCGUCUUUCCCUAUCGUGCUGCAUACGGAAGCCCCAGUCUCGAAAUCUCAGGAUGAAAAAAGAAGAAAAAGAUGAUUCAGUUAUCAAGAGGAUGUCUGAACUCUGAACUUGAAGGACAGGAAAUAAAACAUGAGGAUAAUGGAAGAGAAGAAGAAGCAGACAUUAGGAUAAUGAAAGAAAGGAGUAGAUAAUGAGGAUGGUACUGAAAGAGAAGACGAGACGUACCUUGGCUAAGUGAAGAUCUAGACCUGAAAUUGCUAAUAAGGGGAAUGAGGUCCCUUUCUCUAUCGGUGCCAUCUUAGCUGCCGUCGAUUAGGUGCAUAUUUAGCGAGGUAAUCUCGUUCUAACAUGUCUCUGAUUUUGAUUUUUCCUGCGGAUUUCAGAAUAUAGAAGGCAGCUUCGCAGAGGGGUCACUGACGAGCAAGAUGAGGCCACUGCGUCUAUUCUUGUGUUCGUUUGUUUCAAAGAGAUCACACUAAUUUCUCUCAGUAUAUGUCUCUGCAGAGAAAUAAGUCCUGGAGCCGCUUCAGUUAAGACUAUUGAUCUAGAAUUGGCCGUAUGUUCAUGAACAAUUUUCUGUUGCUAAAAUAAAUCCUGGAGCAGGCUUCAGUGAGGACUACAGAUCAAGAAGUCUGUAUGUUCAUGAAUAAUUUUCUGUUGCUCAGGCCAGAGUUGUUUCGCAAGUUCAGAAUCCACCACAAGGUUUCAACACUCAACUAUGUAUCCUUAGCUCCUUCAGAUUCAGCAGCAUGAACGUUUUGAUUCAGAAGGAACGUAGUCUUCCCAAUAGCUCAUACUGAUUCUGGUCUUCAUGAGUGGGCGACGGCGGACCAGCAAGUGGGCGGGUGGGGCCAGCGACGACGGCGCACGGCCUGAGUGGUGAGCGACGGUGACCAGGCUAGCAGCGCGAGCAGGGUAGCGCUCUGUUCCUGUUAGGUCCAACCCGAUACAUAAUCAGCUAGCUUCAGGGGCGCUACAGUCCUG